AACUUUUCUAAAUUAUCGCUACCUUAAUCUCCAAAUUAUUAACCUUCAUCUGGACAAGUAUAUUGUUACUUCUGUUCUUCAUUUAUUAAUUAUAUUUUUUUUUAAUAUUGUACCGCUAUUGAAUGUUUAAAUUCCUUAAGCUUUCUGUUUGACCCAUGUAGCGAGUUUUCAGUCAAUGACUCCCAAAUCAGAUGGCUUUAGGACACUAGGUAUAGAAUACCCCUCGGACCUACUUGCUCGAAUCAAACA
rnacentral:lncRNA from 1 species